GACUAAGCGUACACGGUGGAUGCCCUGGCAGUCAGAGGCGAUGAAGGACGUGCUAAUCUGCGAAAAGCGUCGGUAAGGUGAUAUGAACCGUUAUAGCCGGCGAUGUCCGAAUGGGGAAACCCAGUGCAAUUCGUUGCACUAUCGUUAACUGAAUACAUAGGUUAACGAGGCGAACCGGGGGAACUGAAACAUCUAAGUACCCCGAGGAAAAGAAAUCAACCGA
rnacentral:rRNA from 1 species